rnacentral:rRNA from 1 species
UGGGGAAUUUUGGACAAUGGGCGAAAGCCUGAUCCAGCAAUGCCGCGUGUGCGAAGAAGGCCUUCGGGUUGUAAAGCACUUUUGUCCGGAAAGAAAUCCUUGGCUCUAAUACAGUCGGGGGAUGACGGUACCGGAAGAAUAAGCACCGGCUAACUACGUGCCAGCAGCCGCGGUAAUACGUAGGGUGCAAGCGUUAAUCGGAAUUACUGGGCGUAAAGCGUGCGCAGGCGGUUUGCUAAGACCGAUGUGAAAUCCCCGGGCUCAACCUGGGAACUGCAUUGGUGACUGGCAGGCUAGAGUAUGGCAGAGGGGGGUAGAAUUCCACGUGUAGCAGUGAAAUGCGUAGAGAUGUGGAGGAAUACCGAUGGCGAAGGCAGCCCCCUGGGCCAAUACUGACGCUCAUGCACGAAAGCGUGGGGAGCAAACAGGAUUAGAUACCCUGGUAGUCCACGCCCUAAACGAUGUCAACUAGUUGUUGGGGAUUCAUUUCCUUAGUAACGUAGCUAACGCGUGAAGUUGACCGCCUGGGGAGUACGGUCGCAAGAUUAAAACUCAAUGAAUUGACGGGGUCAUAGCUGUUUCCU